GCCUUCGUGGUGUGGCGGUCAGCACGCUCGACGCGUAACCGAGAGGUCCGUGGUUCGAUUCCCGGCGAAGGCG
rnacentral:tRNA from 1 species